AACCGCGAAGCGAAACAGGGAGUAGCUCGGUCGCAACUAAUCAAAUCGAUUUUCCGAGCUUGCUGGACAAUCUCAGCCAUGAUGUUGCAGCUUCCAUGGCUCAGACGUCGGGCGGGCUACCCAUCGCAAGGAGAAGGUCGCUUCGCCGAUUCUUGGAGAAGAGGCAUGACAGGCGUGUCGACAAUGGACCGUACCACACCUCCGGUGGAUCUUCAGCGGCAGCGGCUGCGUCGAGGCCGAGGGAGGGCAAGUCGUGGUUGGGACUGGCUCCAUGACCCCCGCAGUAUAAUAUAAAAGGCUCCAAUUAAUCACACAUUUUUUGUACUCAUUUUUUAAAUAACUAUACAUAUUCUUUAU